UAGCCUAAUGGUUAAGGCUUUGAAUCGCCAAUCCGGAGACGACGGGUUCGAUUCCCGU
rnacentral:tRNA from 1 species